rnacentral:rRNA from 1 species
GAUGAACGCUGGCGGCGUGCCUAAUACAUGCAAGUCGAGCGAACGGACGAGAAGCUUGCUUCUCUGAUGUUAGCGGCGGACGGGUGAGUAACACGUGGAUAACCUACCUAUAAGACUGGGAUAACUUCGGGAAACCGGAGCUAAUACCGGAUAAUAUUUUGAACCGCAUGGUUCAAAAGUGAAAGACGGUCUUGCUGUCACUUAUAGAUGGAUCCGCGCUGCAUUAGCUAGUUGGUAAGGUAACGGCUUACCAAGGCAACGAUGCAUAGCCGACCUGAGAGGGUGAUCGGCCACACUGGAACUGAGACACGGGCCAGACUCCUACGGGAGGCAGCAGUAGGGAAUCUUCCGCAAUGGGCGAAAGCCUGACGGAGCAACGCCGCGUGAGUGAUGAAGGUCUUCGGAUCGUAAAACUCUGUUAUUAGGGAAGAACAUAUGUGUAAGUAACUGUGCACAUCUUGACGAUACCUAAUCAGAAAGCCACGGCUAACUACGUG